AUUUGCUGUUCAAAAUUUUUCACAGCCUAUCGAGGAGCAGAAUUUGCUUACGAUUAUGAUGAAUACGUUUUCCUUACACAAUCGGAUGGCAAUUGAA